ensembl:lncRNA LINC02532 long intergenic non-protein coding RNA 2532
AACAUGGUUAUGGGUACUACAGUGGAUGUGAGUGUGUAGACCUUGUACAAUAGAGCUUAUAGGCUAAUGAGAAGACAGGAAGAAACAACAGGAACACAUAUAGCUGGAAUGCAGAUGGGAUCUGUGCUACUUACGCUAGCCAUGGGAUGAUUAGAACAAGAUAAGAGACAUGAGGAAGACUUCUUCAAGGAGGUGCUCAAGCCAUGUUUUGGAAAAGAGAACUCAAGGUCUGGCAGGGAGAAAGGAGCAAGACUGCCUGGCAGCUCUUUAGAAAGUUGUGUGACGUAUGAACCAGUUCUUCCCUAUAUGAGAGUGUACCGUACAUCGCAGGCUGUCCAGCAUCGACCCCACUGAUGGAUGCUAGUAGUCCUCCCCGCCAGCACUCAACAUUGUGACAGUCAAAAACAUCCUCUCUACAUUUUCAAUGCCCCUGUUGGGGUAGCAGGACUCCCACUGAGAGACCCCAGUAGAGAUGGUAAGUGGAGGCAGAGCAGCACCUCUCACACUUCCAUGUGCCCUUGAAUGCCCCCACGGAUCUUGCUAACAUGCAGAUUUAGGAUGUCUGGGGUGGAGCCUGAGAAUCUGCAUUUCUACCAGCUGUUCUUGGACCCAGGCUGGCGAGAUCAGAGGAAGAAGAAAUGACCUUGGGUUUAGGUAGCAAAGACUUCACAGAAAAGAAGGGAACAUAAACAAGGUUUUGAAGAAUACAUGGAGGUGGAGCUGAUGACAUCCCACGAGGUGCAGGCUGCUGGGAGGCAGGCACACUGGACCAGCGGAGAGGGAUCCGUACGUAGCAAACUGUGCCCAUAGUGAGCAAACAGCCUUGAGCCAACAGCAACAGCACUGCUGGGCACAGAGGGUAAAAAUAACAACUCCCUACUGGGGUUGAGUCUGCCAGACCCUGGCAAAGUUCAUUUCUUUCAAUAAAUCCAGCAGCGUCCCCUUUGAUAAAUACUGUCAAAGCUGGAACAUGUGAUGCUAACAAAAUAUGGUUUUAAUUUGGGGCCCACUGCGCUCAUGGUUAAAUACUGCAUGUGUGUAUACACAAGCAGACUCACAGCGGGCCAAGUUAAUAUGCCUGGGCUGAGAAUGGCUAAACCCAUAAGGAUUCAGUUAUACAGAUUUUGCUGCUCUGAAAAGCAACCUAAUCACCACCAUCAAUUCUAAUGCUCUAAGACUUGUUAGGAACAUGGAAGCUUUUAAAGUUCAGCCAUUUGUGCAUUUGCAUCCAGUGCAGACGCAGGGGCACAUUUGUUUUCCUGAUAUUUUAUGCCUACUUUAUUGUCAUAUGUUGUCUGACAUUCUGAAGAUAACAUGCUGUUUUAAUCAACAGCUCAACACUGCAUUAAAACUUGAUGGUCCAUAGCUUUGUAGCAAAGGGAGGUGGGGAGGAAAUGAGAAUCAGAGUUUAGCAACAGACCGAGGCUUGUUCUGGUGGGAUUAAUUCCUGGGAACACAGAAACUCUCAGAGUUUUUGUUAGUCUGUGUGUGUCAGUUUUGGAACAGCCCAGGGAAAGAAGGAAACUGGCUAAACAAGUUUCAGUCUGGCCUCUGCGGUGGAUGCUGCUGGUAACUGGACCUCCAGGCCAUCAUGAAUAAUGAAGAAGUCUGCUUCUUCAAGAGUGCAGGUCACAGCAACUGCACCGAGGCAACUGCCCAGCAAACCAAAGAUUACAGCACCUGUCCAGUAAUCUUAUGGGGGAAACAAACAAAGCUGGGGAAUGCAGUGAGCAGCAGGUGUCCUCAGGGCGGUAGGAGGGCAGAGAAAGUGAAGAAGCCAGGUGGGUAGUGGGAGUGGGAACCUACCCGAAGUUCCCCAGUGCAGGACGCAGAACAGUUGGCCCUUCCAGAGACCAGCUCCUCAGGAAGGCGAAACUCAGGGAAGGGAGCUGGUUGUUUCAUGAAACAAGCAAGGAUCAGAAUAAUUUCCUGAAAGGACUAGAGGUUUAUCACAUGCGGAAUACCAGUAUGAAGGGAGCUGCAGGAAUUCUUCAUUCCAGGAGGCACCUGCCCUGUUGCAUUUUGAAAUUGGCUAAAAAUGUAUUUCUAUUUUAUUAUUAUUUAUUCGUAGUGACAGAAAAAGCCUGAGAUCCUGUGAGCAGCGACUUCCCAGUUAGUCACUGGUCAGCUAGAGACUAAGGUAGAAAAGCUUGAUGGGAAUACUUAAAUUUUGCAUACCCAUGUUUAUUUUUUGUGGCAAAAGUGAAGCCUGUUUACUGGAGAAAAAUAUAAGUCCCUAAACAGUGCAGACAUUGUUUAAAAAUCAGGGAGAGUCCUCCUAGUCAUGAGGGGAAGUCCUUCUUUAGGCUACUCAAAACUUCAAAGUAGAAGGUGCUUAGGAGCAACCAAUGAGGAUUGAGUGAAUUAGGGAUUCCCAAGGUAUUUUCCACUGGUCUCUAGGGUCCUCUAUGUUUUCCCUGGUGUUCCGGAAGGAGAGAGAAAAGGCAAUUCUCCCUACCCUAAAAGCUGUUAGUUGGUUUGUAGCCUUGGGGGAUGCUGGUCAGAUGCUGCCUAAGCCGAGUGAACAUUCAGGGCAUGGCUGCACUUGGCACUGGCUUCUUUUUUCCUUGGAUUGCUUCCUCACUAAUGGAAAGGAUUGAGAGGAGGGCCUGGCAAUUUUAUCUGGAAAAAUAAUUCAGAUUUCUAAUGGUAUAGAGAUUAUGUACCAUUAGAAAGGGCAGGGGAAAGGAGGAUUUGUUCCUGCGUAUUCAUUACGGUGUUGAAAUGCUCUAGGGACAAGAGGUCAGUGGGCAUUGAACCCAAACCAAAUUUAGCAAUGGAAUAAGCCUCUAAUUGGGGCCUGGAUUCCACAUUAAAAGCUAUUCUCCACCUG